rnacentral:snRNA from 1 species
GGAUGUGAGGGCGAUCUGGCUGUGACAUCUGUCACUCCAUUGAUCGCCAGGGUUGAUUCAGCUGAUCUGGCUGGCUAGGCAGGUGUCCCCUUCCUCCCUCACCACUCCAUGUGCGACCCUCUUGAAUCCUAAUAAAAUUAGGAUUGAACAAUUAGUUUCAAUCAAGUGUGAAUAUGAAUCCUCAAAAGUUAAAGGCUCAUAAGCCUGUGUUACAAUUUCAUAGCUACUAAAGAGAACACUUGCCAAAGAAUUCAUUAAUGCCUUAUGAGGUGGGUAAAAUUCCAUAUGGAUGAUCAGCAUAUGAGGAUUCAACAAGUAUUGAGUGCCAUAUGUA